rnacentral:misc_RNA from 1 species
CAGCAAUGCCCUUGUUGGUCCAGUUCUUCAUCCUGUGAAUUUGGACAGCUAUUUUGUAACUCAUGAAGUGUAAUCAAAAUAGGGAGAGGAAGAACUGGACCAACAAGGGCAUUGCUGUGCGGCACUUUAUGUGACCACCUACUGCUGCGACUUGAAGGCUUCCUUAAGAAAAAUGGAGGCAACUGAGGUAGGUCCGGAACAACUAAAAAUUCCAAAGAAACCACCUUCUUGUCCAAGAGUACUUCAAGAAAUUCGGAGUAGCUGGAAAAGGCAAGUUGCAAGAGUUCCAUUGGCAAGCUUGCCCAUAUGCUCCUCAAAGCAACUUCAUGUACACUUGUUGGCAAGUUGAUGUCAUUAAAAACAACGCUAAUGGCAGGGGAUGUUCUAAAUUGACUGAACCCACAAAUCUUCAAUUUCUCGCACAGUGUUUCAUGAAAGUCUAUGCUAAAAGACUCUCUCUGUUGAGAACCCUUGCAAGGCUUUGUCAUGUUUGAAUCCAAGACCUGAGAAAUAUUACCAUUAAUAUAUGCAGAGAGGUAAUCCAGCUUCAAAUACUUAAAUCUUCUAGGAAACUUGUAUUCCUCAUCCUCCAAGGAGUAAAGCAAGUUGUCUCCAAAACACAGCAAUUGAAUGAGCUGCUUCUAAUUUUCUAACCAAAUCCCAUGAUGCAUAAUAUCUCUGUGACUCCAGCUUCCCUGAGGACAUUAGUCUAAUCAAAGUAAAACCACCAAAUUCAUCCGACUCAAAGAGCAAUGAAGAGAGAUCACUGCUUAAAAUGCCAA